AUUGAACGCUGGCGGCAUGCCUUACACAUGCAAGUCGAACGGAUCAGAGGGGCUUGCUCCUUUGGUUAGUGGCGAACGGGUGAGUAAAGCAUCGGAACGUACCCAGUUGUGGGGGAUAACGUAGCGAAAGUUACGCUAAUACCGCAUACGCACUCAGGUGGAAAGCGGGGGACCGAAAGGCCUCGCGCAAUUGGAGCGGCCGAUGUCGGAUUAGCUAGUUGGUGAGGUAAAGGCUCACCAAGGCGACGAUCCGUAGCUGGUCUGAGAGGACGACCAGCCACACUGGAACUGAGACACGGUCCAGACUCCUACGGGAGGCAGCAGUGGGGAAUUUUGGACAAUGGGCGAAAGCCUGAUCCAGCCAUGCCGCGUGAGUGAAGAAGGCCUUCGGGUUGUAAAGCUCUUUCAGACGGAAAGAAAUCUUUCGGGUGAAUAUCCCGGAAGGAUGACGGUACCGUAAGAAGAAGCACCGGCUAACUACGUGCCAGCCGCCGCCGUAA
rnacentral:rRNA from 1 species